rnacentral:lncRNA from 1 species
UAAUUUGCAGUGGUAGGUGCAGGGAAGGCCAUUGUGCGAACUAGCAUUAGAUAUUCUAGCUUAAUGUGUCCUAAGGAUAGAAAAAAAUAACCUACAAUCACAGUAAACUAAUGAAAAGAUUAGAAUAACAUUCACACCAAUAAAAAACAUCAAUUGAGGAUUUAUCAAUCACUAGGUUUUCCCAAUCAACGCUCAAUCCUAAAAAAUUAGAACAAAAAAACAGAUCAGGCCUCUAUCUAAGGUUUUUUUUUAUUUUUUUUUAUAAUGAGUAUACAGAUCAGACCUCUAUUAGAACUGGCCUAGUCUAGACCAAAGUAGGCUCUGAUACCAUCUAAAAUUGUUAUAAAUGAGAGUAUACAAUCUCUAAGUGAUAUAAGAACACAAGAACUUAUUUAUUUAAACAUAACAAGACUAAAACAGUUUACAGCAGAAAAUAUACCUAUGAAACUCUACUGAACUGUUAUUGAAAAUAUAUGAUCAAUUCAUACAUGAAACUACAGAACUGUUAUACAGUAGGAAGAAAAUACACAUUACCUAAACUAGUAUUAUUCGGAAUUGAAAGAUCUAAAAGAAACAUCGACGAGAAUCAACGAAAAAAUAUACAUUAAAGAAAACCAAAUAAACUUCUGUAAAGAACUCACGACCAGCAGACAAGAAUCACAAGAUCUGAUGUCAAGAAUUGAGGAGUGAUUUGUCGACAAACAGAGGAUCAGCAGAACCAGAGAAGACGAGAGUCGGCGAAACCCUAGAUCGGGAGAGCAGAAUAAAGAAUCGUAAAUGAGAAAACUUUAAAGAAAAAUGAAUUGAAAAUACCUGUGAGUGGAAUGCCCAAUUAAUUCUGGCAGCCUACCUUAUAUAAUACAUUAGCUGGAUAAUUAAUCGGAUAUCUUGGAUCUGAUUAAUCUGAUACAGUUUUCUCUUUCAGAUCCUCCCGCAAGUUCAGCAGGGAGUAAACCAGAUGAACUUGGAGUAGAUACUUCAAUGCUUGUGGCAAUCAGUUUUAAUUUUGUCUAUUUCUAUGUUGACGAAAUAAUUCAGUAUCCAGUACUUUGGUGAAUCCAUCAGCCAAUUGCAUCCCUGUAGGAACAUAUUUGAUUUGCAUUGCACCUUUCUCUAGUAAUUCUCUUACAAAAUAAUAAGCAAUAUCAAUAUAUCUUGACCUGCUAGUUAUUGUUGGAUUAGUUGCCAUAUAGAUGGCUGAUUUGUUAUCACACAACAAUAAUGGUAAUUUGGAAAAUUUUAAGUUUAAUUCCCGUAAUAAAAGACAGAACCACCUAAUCUCAGAGAUAACAUGUGAGAUAGCCUUAAACUCAGCUUCUGCACUAGAUAAGGAAACUGAAGGUUGCUUCUUUGCAGACCAUGACACCAAAUUUCCAUUCAGCCAUAUGCUAGACCCUGUGAUAGACCUUCUGUCCAUGGUUGCCCCCCAAUCAGAGUCACAAUAAGCCUCUAGAGUUAAGUUCUGACUCUAAUUUGCUGUGAAUCUCAACCCCAUAUUUGAAGUGCCUCUGAGGUAUCUAGCUAAAUACUCUUUUUAUUGCUUGUAAGUGACCCUCUAACGGAUUAUGAAGAUAUUGACAAAUUUGAUUUACUGCAAAGGAGAUAUCAAGCCUUGUCAAACUCAGAUACUAUAAGGACCCUACCAUGCUUCUGAAUAAUGUAAUAUCCUGAACUGACUCGCCUGUAAUCUCACACAUUCUAGGAGAUGGUAUCAUUGGUGUAUUUGUUGGUCUGGCCUUAUCAAACCCAUACCUUACUAAUAGGUCAUUGAUGUAUUUUUCCUGAGAUAUGACCAUUGACAAGCCUAUGUAGCAACAACAUUCAAUUCCUAAAAAGAAUUUCAACCUUCCCAACUCUCUACAAGAAAAUUAUGUACAAAUUGCUUUCAUUACUCUUGAUUUCUUCUGAAUCCCCACCUGUGACAAUGAUAUCAUCAACAUAUACUAAAAUAAUUAUUUUAGAUGAUGUUGAAUCCUUGAAAAACAUAGAAGCAUCAGUCUUUGAGUUUGUGAAUCCACUAUGAACUAGAAAAGUAUGUAACCUCAUAUACCAGGCCCUUGGUGCCUGCUUCAACCCAUAGAUGGCCUUAUGCAACAAACACACAUCUUUUGGCUUCUUUUUGUCCACAAAUCCAAUGGGUUGUUUCAUGUAGACUGUCUCUUGUAAUACACCAUUAAGAAACACAUUUCUCACAUCAAGUUGUUGUAGCUCCCAACCACAAUUUGUAGCCAAUGACAAUACUAUCCUUACUGUUGUAAUUUUUAUGACAUGAUUAUAGGUAUAGUGAAAAUCAAUGCCCUCUUCUUGUGUAAAUCCCCUAGCAACCAAUCUGGCCUUCAACCUGUCAACUGUUCCAUUAGCCUUCUUCUUGACCUUAUAAACCCAUUUAGAGCCUGCUAUAUUCAUAUCAGGAGAAUAGGGAACCAGAGUCAUGUUUUGUUAACAUGAAGUGCAUCCAUUUCUUCUUUCAUGGCUUCAAACCAGUAUCCAUGUUUAAUAGCCUGUGAAUAAGAUAAUGGCCCACACAAAGAAUUUAUAUUAGACAUAUUAGUAGAGUAAGAACCAAGCUUUUUGACGCGGCCAGGCGACCAGGCGAUGCCUGGGACCGCAUACCGCAUAUGCGACCGCCUGGUCGCAUAUGCGGUCCAAUAUGCAACAUGUAUUUUAAUCGCAAAAUACAGUACUACACGUUAGGUGUGUAACUGUGUAACUCGAUUUCUACCUUGGGCGAUUUCGCAAAAUACAGUAGCAGCGGAAGGCAAGCAGCAGUGGAAGGCAAGUAGCACCGGAAAUCCUUGGGCGAUUUCACGAUUUUAGUAGUAUUUGGGAUUUAGGGUUUUUUAUUUAAUUGGGUAUUUUUUAUAAGGUCCUUAAGUUUUAAAAAAUAAUAGAAUUCAUUUAAAUUUUUUCAAUUUUAAUAUUUUCACCUUGGGUAAAUGGAUCGGGUUUAGCCGGAUCCGACCCGGAUUCGGCUAAACCCAAUAAUAUGCGACCCCCCAAAUAUGCGAUGGGGGGUUACCGCCUGGUCGCAUAUGCGCUCGCAUAUGCGCGCAUAUGCGACAAAUCAAAAAGCUUGGUAAGAACAGUCAAAAUCCUUUAAAGUUACAUUAGGGAUUUUCAUUCUAACAGACCUUCUCAGAUCAUUGUUGGCUAUAUUUCUGGAAAGUUCAAUAACAGACCUAUCUAUUUGAGGUAUGUCAUCAGAUGGACUGUCAGGAAUAGUUGAUCCACCACCACCCCUAUUAGAGGAUGAUGAUAAAUCAGAAGAUCCUUCAACUGGACUAGUUGAUGAAUCAGAAGACACUUUAUCUGAACUAGAAUCAAAUGAUGUACUUGACUGACCUUGUUUAAAAGAACUAAAUAAGAUAUCAGUUUCAUUAGAAGACCCAUUUGAUGGAUUUACCCCAUUUUCAGAACUUACUGGUGAAUUUCUGUUUUUAUUCAUUCCAUUGUUAUUUAUAGGCAAAGAUAUAGUGAGUUUGGUGGGUUGUUGAUUUUGUGGAUUUUGCAUUGUGGAAUCUAUAGUAUGUAGUUUGCUUUUCUCAAGGUUUGAUUUUUCCAAAAAAGAAAAUACAGACUAAUCAAAUAUAACAUCUCUGGACACUGUUAUUUUUGAUGUAUCUAGAUGUAGGCAUCUAUACUCUUUCUGUUGGGUGGCAUAACCUAAGAAUACACAUUUAGUAGCUUUGGGUUGCAAUUUAUUUCUUUGGUGUCUAGGAAUGAGUGGGAAACAAAGACAACCUAUGGUUUUCAAAAGAGUGUAAUCAGGUUUCUUUUUGAAGAGUAUUUCAAAUGGUGUUUUGUUUUCUAACAUAGGGGUUGGUAGUCUGUUCAAGACAAAGAUAGCAGAGGUAUAAUACCUCUGGCUAGUACAUAUAUGGAAUCUUUGAUUGUUUAAAAAUACACCUGCUGAUUUCCACUAUUUGUCUAUGCUUCCUUUCCACAAUCCCAUGUUGUUAUGGAGUAUAUGCACAAGACAUUCUAUGUCUGAUCCCUUUUUCCUGAAAUAAUUCUUUAAUAUUCUGAUUUAAAAACUCUCCUCCCAUAUCUAUUUGAAUUUCCUUGAUUUUAUUUUCCAGUAAAUUUUCAACCUGCUUCUGAAAUAUUAUAAACACCUUGUAGAAAUCUGACUUCUUAUUCAUUGGGAUAAUCCAACUAAAUCUAGAAAAUUCAUCCACAAAAGAUGCAUAAUAAAGAAAGGAGUUAUCAUUGCUCUGAGCUGAUGCAGACAUUGCUAAAAUGGGAGAUGAAUCGUUGACUUGAGGAUGAGAAAUAGAUGCUUGCUGGCCAAAUUCUGUAACUAUUGUUUCUGCCAGAUGAGCUGGGAAAUUAUGUAAAUCAGGACAUGUUUUAGCUAGAUGUCCUUUCUUGUACACAUUUGACAAGCAAAAUUCUGGUCUAUAGAGGAUGGUGUUUGCAGAAUUGGUGGUAACUGUGGAACUGUUACUGCAGGAACAACAGAUUAAUAAGUUGGUUGUGACAGUGCUCUCUGACCAUUAGAUCUUGGUUGAUAACUUGGUUGAAACUGAGCUCUUGAUGGAUUCUGAAAAUACUGUCCAGAUUUGUAACCAAAUUGUGGUCUUGAUCUGUAAAAAUUCUGUUCUGGUUAAUUGUAACCAUUGUAGGAUUGAGUACCAUUAUAUGCUCCAUUAUAUCCUCCAUAAAAAUUGUUUGGAGGACCAUAAUUGUGAUUUCCAAAAUUCUGAUAUCCAUUUCCUGUUCCAUCGUAAUUACCUUGCUGAUUGUAAUUAAAAUUCUGACUGCCGUAACCGUGUCCACCUCUUCCUCUUCCAAAAUUUUGAUUAUUUCCUCUGGGUUGAUAGUGAGCAGCAAAUGCUGUUACCUGUGUUUCUGUUUGUAUCUUUUUCAGUAGAUUUUCCUCACCAACUAAUAAAUUUGUCAAUUCAUCAAAACUAGUUGUACCUCUGGAUCUAAUGGUAGUGACAACUAUAUGAUAAUCACUUCCUAGCCCAUUCAAAACACAAGCCAUUAAUUGACUGUCACUUGUCACCUCACCAGUUGAACCAAGGGAUUCCACCAAUCCCUUAGCCUUUACUAAGUAAUCUUGCAUAGAUUCAGUGGUAGCUUUCUUUAGAUUAUUUAAUUGAUUCCUUAUCACUUGUACUUGAGUUUUGCUAACUGGUGACAACAAUUUCUCUCAUAUAUUCCAUCCAUCAAAGGCUGAUUUACACUUCAACAUCAUGAGUUGGUAUGGAUUCGAUACUGUGGCUUUUAACCAACCUAGGACUAAAUCAUCCUUAGUUUCCCAUUCUUCAAAUUCAGGAUUUAUAAUAUCAUCCUCUAACCUUCUCACAGGAAUCUGCUCAGUACCAGAUAUCAGAGGUAAUAGCUUGUGAACUCGCAGUGCACAUUCAAACUGAUUUUUCCAGCAGAGAUAAUUACCUUUAUCCAUCUUAUCAGGAACAAGACUAAAAAUGUUGUAAUUUGCAGUGGUAGGUGCAGGGAAGGCCAUUGUGCCAAUUAACAUUAGAUAUUCUUGCUUAAUAUGUCCUAAGGAUAGGAAAAAAUAACCUAAAAUCACAGUAAACUAAUGGAAAGAUUAGAAUAACAUUCACACCAGUAAAAAACUUCAACUGAGGAUUUAUCAAUCACUAGGUUUUCCCAAUCAACCCUCAAUCCUAAAAAAUUAGAACAAAAAAAUAGAUCAGACCUCUAUCUAUGGUUUUUAUUUUAUUUUUAUAUAUAUAAUGAGUUACAAAACAGACCUCUAUUAGAACUGACCUAGUCUGGACCAAAGUAGGCUAUGAUACCAUCUAGAAUUUGUAUAAAUGAUAGUAUACAAUCUCUAAGUGAUAUAAGAACACAAGAACUUAUUUAUUUAAACGUAACAAGACUAAAACAAUUUACAGCAGAAAAUAUACCUAUGAAACUCUACUGAACUGUUAUUGAAAAUAGAUGAUCAAUUCAUAUAUGAAACUACAGAGCUCUUAUACAGUAGGAAGAAAAUACACAUUACCUAAACUAGUAUUAUUCGGAAUUGAAAAACCUAAAAGAAACAUCAUGAGAAUCAACGAAGAAAUACACAUUAAAGAAAACCAAAUAAACUUUUGUAAAGAACCAGCAGACAAGACCUGAUGUCAAGGAUUGAGAAGGAGUGAUUUGCCGAUGAACAGAGGAGCAACAAAAUCCGAGAAGAUGAGAGUCGGCGAAACCCUAGAUCGGGAAAGCAGAAUGAAGAAUUGUAAAUGAGAAAACUUUAGAAAAAAAUGAACUGAAAAUACCCGUGAGUGGAAUACCAAAUUAAUACUGACAGCCUGCCUUAUAUAAUACAUUAGCUGGAUAAUUAAUCGGAUAUCUUGGAUCCAAUUAAUCUGAUACAGUAUCCUCUUUCAGAAGUACCAGCUGCG